UCUUGAGUUAUGGCCAAAAACGUGUUUUGUGAGGUCACAUUGACAUUUGACGUCCAAAAUCUAAUCAGGUCAUUCUUGAGUCCAGGUGGACGUUUGUGCCAAAUUUGAAGAAAUUCCCUCCAGGCGUUUCUCAGAUAUCGUGUUCACGAAAAUGGGAUGGAAGUAUGGACAACCCAAAAACAUAAUGCCUCCGGCCACGGCUGUUGCCAACACGUAGGGAUUCAAAUUAAAACGUAAAUACGGUAGUGGGAAAAAAAGUUGCACCUCGACAGUCAUGCUUGUUGGAAUUAAAAUAUCAUCACUUUGUUUUUGCCAUAAUUAUUAUUUUAUAAAAAAUAACCUUAAAGCAACUGGCUGAUAGUACAUUGAACUUUGUACUGUGUUGCACCAGACAAAGGAAAAUUUCCCCAACAAUUGGCUGUUGGUAAAUUUCCAUCCUGCAGGAGGUUUCUUCUAACUGUCACCAUUGUUAUUCUGCUUAAUUAAUUGAAGUUUGAUUAUGGUAAAUAAUUUGCCCAGUAGCAAUGUCAAAUAGAGCUGAAUUCUACAGUUUGAUUUUAAGCCUAAGAACUACCAAAAUCUUUGAAUUCAGUAACGAUGACCGUGAAAAAUUAAUCAACCACUAUAAUCAAGCUGUGUCACCCCUGCGGCAGUGCCGCUGAAGAGGACCAGCAGAGGGGAUCCCCCACCCACGCCCUCUUUGUUCUCUUCCUGUACACUUACGGUAAUAUCUCGCUUUUCUCAAUCACCUUCACUUGUCUUUGUUCCAGCUCUAUGAAUGCUUGUGAAAUAAUGGAGGAUUUUUCUUUACCUUUAUUUAUAUAAAGCAGAGUUUUUCAAACAAAUAAAACAACAUCAUGCAAUACGCCAAUAUGUGUUCGAGUUGCAUUUCAACCUCGCACCCACUCGCCCCGGAAAUGCGAACUGUUCACGGAGGGGAGACCGCAGGGUAGGAAAUCAUACUACCGACAGUGGGAGUAGGAAGUAAACUACUUAAUUAAAACAGGGGCUAAAUAAAAUCGGCCUGAUAGUGUAAUAGUUUGAAAUACAAAUGCUGUACUACUUAAUGAGUUUUUACCUCAUGUGCCUAGCUUUCACUGGAGUCUGAACUGUAAGAAAGAGAAGAAAGAUGACUAAUAUUUCUUUUAAGUCACCCACCCACACACACACAGACACACACACACACACACACAUACACCAUAGUUGGUGCAAAUUACACAGCAACAGUGCAUUUUUUUUAGACAUGAAUUUUAUUUGGCUUAAAUGGUGAAAUGGCAUAAUAAACACACCACGAAAUAACAAAACAAAAUGCAUCAUCACUGUGUGACCAAAUGACAACUUUGAGUCAAAACAAAACAAACAAAAUCGGCACUGAUAGCAGAAGCUACGUAAUAGUGAAAUACAGAAAUACAUAAUACUAAACAAUAAAGAUAUUUAGCAUAUACAGUAGGUUUGGCCCUGUCUAGGUGUUCUGAAUAUAUAUAUAUAUAUAUUUGUAUUUAUUUAUUUAUUAAGAAACUAAAAUGUUACAGUAUUAGUUAACUCUCACCAAUACUGACCUUUUAUUAAAGUGCUAAUAGCAAGUCUAUGUCAUUUAUCAUCGGUAUGAUGGAGAUCUAUUUCGAAUCGUAACAGAAAAGCCUAUAAAACUUGGAUUUAAAUUUUAUUUUACCGCACGUGUCCUUUAUUCUUCAUUUAGUGGCAGCAGCAUUACACUACUUUUUUCAGAAUGUCUUUAUUUAAUUAAAAUGUAAUUUGUAAAAUCAAGUUUUUAUUUGUCGUAGUAAAAAAACAAACAUUAUUUCAGUCAAACCAUUUUUCUAAAAAAAUAUUUCUCAGAUUUACAAGUGGAAAAAAAAAUUAAAAAAAUUAAAGUGUUAAUAUUCUUUAAGGAUAGUGUGAUUGUUCACUAUUUGGAAGAUUAAGAAAGUAGGUUUGUUCACUGUGUUUUAACUUUUGACACAAACUUUUGUUUUUCUCACCCGUUAACCUCUAUCUGUCAGUAAUCUUGCAGCCUCACUUUAAAGUCACACUUUGCAUUGUGUUUAACACUCUGGCUGACCACAAAGAGCAACUCUCACUGUGUGACAUGUCUUCUCUCCUGACCGAGAGCGCUAGUCAUCACAAAAAAAAAA